GAUGCUGUGUUUGAGUUGUGUGAUGAGUCACUUUGUUACUCGUGCUCCAGGGAAAUGGGACGAGAGAGUGAAAGAAAAGUAGAGGGAGGGAGUUGGAUGGGAAAAGGGAGUAAAGAAAGAGGAAGAGUGAGGGGACAGAAAGAAAGAGAAGGGGAAGAUAGAGGAGAGAAAUUAGAAAAUUAGAGAGAAAAAGAAAGGAGAAACGGUUAGGGUUGGAGGGGUAAGAUGGAGGAAGAGAUGGAGGAAGACAGAGGGGGAGGAAGAGGACUGAGUGAGAGGGAGAGGAAGAGGACUGAGUGAGUGGAGAGGAAGAGGAAGAGGACUGAGUGAGUGGAGAGGAAGAGGACUGAGUGAGAGGGAGAGGAAGAGGACUGAGUGAGUGGAGAGGAAGAGGACUGAGUGAGAGGGAGAGGAAGAGGAAGGGGACUGAGUGAGUGGUGAGGAAGAGGACUGAGUGAGUGGAGAGGAAGAGGACUGAGUGAGAGGGAGAGGAAGAGGACUGAGUGAGAGGAGAGGAAGAGGACAGAGUGAGAGGGAGAGGAAGAGGACUGAGUGAGAGGGAGAGGAAGAGGACUGAGUGAGAGGAGAGGAAGAGGACUGAGAGAGUGGAGAGGAAGAGGAAUAAUGAUCACAAGAAGGACCUGACUAUAAAAUGGACUGUCCUGAUUAUUAAUUUUCAAGGUGAAUAAUCGCAAAUACAGGAAAUGUGUCUAGAUGCUGCAUAUCUGAAUGUGAUGUUCCCUCCAGAUCAGGGUCAGUGUUAGAGGUCCAGUAAUAAGACAGUCCUGAUGUUCCCUCCAGAUCAGGGUCAGUAUUAGAGGUCCAGUAAUAAGACAGUCCUGAUGUUCCCUCCAGAUCAGGGUCAGUAUUAGAAGUCCAGUAAUAAGACAGUCCUGAUGUUCCCUCCAGAUCAGGGUCAGUAUUAGAGGUCCAGUAAUAAGACAGUCCUGAUGUUCCCUCCAGAUCAGGGUCAGUAUUAGAGGUCCAGUAAUAAGACAGUCCUGAUGUUCCCUUCAGAUCUGGGUCAGUGUUAGAGGUCAGUUUUUCAAAUUAUAGCCCUGGCUGAAUGAAUCACAGCCCAGGCCGAACUAAUCACAUCCCUGUCCAAACAAAGCCCUGGUUCAAUGAAUCACAGCUCUGGCCAAACAAAUCCCUGGCUCAACAAAUCACAGCCCUGACCG
ensembl:lncRNA